AACGCACCUUGCGCUCCUUGGUAUUCCGAGGAGCAUGCCUGUUUGAGUGUUAUUAAAUUCUCAACCUUUCCAUUUUGUAAUGAAAUGCUGGAAGGCUUGGAUUGUGGAGGUUUGCAGGCUCUCGUCAGUCAGCUCCUCUGAAAUGUAUUAGCGGAGACCUGUAGUGCAUCUCCCUUGGUGUGAUAAUUAUCUACGCCUUGGUUGACUACAAAUGCUUUGCACUCUAAUCGUCGAAAGACAAUUAUCAAAUUUUAACCUCAAAUCAGGUAGGACUACCCGCUGAACUUAA
rnacentral:misc_RNA from 1 species